UCAGCCCUAUUCUGCAUUUCUACUCGAAUCGAAAUUUUCUCCGAUUGGCAACUUUGGUAUUCUGCGUUUCGAUUCAACUUCGAAAAUUCCAAUUCUAUGUAUUCUGCAUUGCGAUCGUAAUUACGUUUUUGUACGUUGAAGUUUUGUCGGCGGAAAGCCGUUAUAUAUUCAUUUUCGUGCACUUGGAUAAAAUAAUUUCCUCAAAUAUGUCAAAAGUAACAACGGCAGAGCAAUACGAAAAAAUUGUGUGAUAUGAUGGCCACGGAAAGAGAUAUUGCGCAGGGCUUCCAAAAGCGACCGAAGGAAGAAGUACAGGAGUUUUGGGAGGAGGUUGCAAGGAAUUUAAAUGCACUUGGCCCACCAACAAAAGAUUCCAAUACAUGGAGGUCUGGAUUGACUGAAAAUGCUACAUGAAGCGAAAAUUAUCGCAUAACAAAAAAGAAAGGAUGAGCACCGGUGGAGGUCCUUGUCGUUUACAACGCAUAAGCCCACUUGAUGAAAAGGUGAUAGCUUUGACGGGUUUGGAAAGGGAUGAUAUCCCUUCAACCACUA